CAGAUGUGAAAGACCCGGGGCGUCAACCUCGGAAUAGCAUUUGUAAACUAGGCAAACUAGAGUACUGUAGAGGGGGGUAGGAAUUUCAGGUGUAGCGGUGAAAUAGCGUAGAGAUCUGAAGGAAUACCGGUGGCGAAGGCGGCCCCCUCGGACAGAUACUGACACUCAGAUGCGAAAGCGUGGGGAGCAAACAGGAUUAGAUACCCUGGUAG
rnacentral:rRNA from 1 species